CUAGAGUGAUGCCUACAAGUCCCCAGUCAUUGUCUUAAACCUAUAGUCACCUUCAAUUCCAGAGAAAGCAGAGCUUUGUGAGCCCCUCAUGGUGAAGUCACCCUCUGAGUAGGAGCAGUUACCCCAUAUGGGACCCACAGUUGGCCCCUAAGUGGGCACCAUCAUCUCAUGAUAGCAACUGAAUCAUCCCCUCAGGUGACAAAAGCUGUCCCCAGACUUCAUAGAACCAGUCCUGAGACACCCAUCAACCAACCUUGACCAGGAUGACCUACAAGCCUUGCAUUCAAUAAAAUCCCAAGACUUUUGCCAUCAGUUCCUGGAAGGGAGAGCAAAGAGAGAGAUUUAAAUGAAGAGGAGGGAGGUAGCAAGCAGUGCUUUCUCCCAGAUCCUGGACUCAUGGCAUGGGAACAGCGAAUCAAACCUGCAGACACAUGGUGACUACUGGCGACCCCAGAGGCCUUCACAGAGAAAAGCACCAGUGGAAGGGAGCAAUGGACACAGUGGACUCCAGUGGCCGCUUAUCUCAAAUUCCAGAAACAGCAAGCUUUACACUGAAACUGUGCCUCUCAAGCAAUAACAACUUCCCUGGUGCCACCUGGGAUGCCUAUGAUCAAACCUGAGACAAGAUCAACCCUUGUUCUUCCCCCGAAUGAUUCAGCAACUACUGUUAGCACCUCAACAGGAGGAGUUCGGCUUAUCAGCUUCGGUCCUCCCUGGGUCUGGCCACACAUAAAUAAUUCUUAGCUGUUUCGCUACCACUCUCCUCACUGCUGUUGAGAUCUUUUGGGGCAAAUGGCAGACCUGAACUGCUGGGACUCAGCCAGCCAGGCCUUCUAUCCUACGUUCCAGGAAUGUUUUCAGAAAAGAACUGCACAUCCCUAACUGGCC
ensembl:lncRNA